UGUCAUGCGCUCCAACUACAGUCAUUUUCCUAAUGAUGUGGGUACUAAAAACACCUCCGCUGGAUUCAUAAUACCAUAAUUUGGCUUUUAGAUGAGAGGCUGGUGUGAAUUCAGCCAGUCUAUUCUCUGAACUGUAGCUCAGCAUUGUAGUGAACCACAAUAAGGUGCAUUCUAGAAGGCCUAAAAUCAUCUCCGGUGAGAAACGUGACAUACAAGUUCAAUAAAUAAAUAAAUGAAAUAUUAGCCCA